rnacentral:lncRNA from 1 species
CUCCCUCUCCACUCUCCCAGCGCCCCCUGCCUCCAGCCCCCAGUCCUUUGCCCUCUGUCUCCCGCUCCCGGAGCUCCGUUCCGUUCUCUUGGACUCCAGUUCCUGGUUUCCUCGGGAGCUUCGGGGCAACGAGGUGGGGGGCGGGGUGCGGAGCCAGGGCGGCCCGAGGUUUGAAUGGGAAAGUAGCUUGUGGCGGCAGCCGGGGCAGUGGCAGCGGCCCCCAGUCCUCCCACCGCCACCGAGCUCGGGGACUCGUGUGUGGGGGACAGAAGGUCCUCUCUCUCCCCGGGCUGCUCCCCUCCUUUUUGUUGGGGGGGGGCAGGGAAAACGGUGGUCUUGCAAGUGUAGCGGAGGACUGCAGAGGAGGAGGAAGAAGAGGAGGAGGAGGUUGUGCCAGCUCCGCUCGGGAACCCCCGGCUCGGCUCGGGAACCCCGGGCCCCUGAGUUGCCAGUUAGCAGGGGCGGCAGAAGGAAGGAUUAAAGGGGAGGCAGAAGGCGGACCAGUUGGGAUUUGAUGCUGAACAGAAAAUCUCAGAAUAAUGAGUUACUGGAGCCUUGAGAAGAGGAACUGUGUUCAAUAUCGGCGACAUUUCUUAGUAGAUAAUAGCGUGUUUCAUGGUGAGUGGCCUAAAUUCUAUUUAUGGUGUUGACUUUAAAAAAAUGUCUGUAGAAUAGAACUUUAAGAGGUGGAAGGUGCCACAGAGGUAAUAAUAAUGACAAUAAUAAUAGCUAUCAUUUGCAUAUGGCCUGUUAAAAUCUGCAAGAUACCUCACGUUUUUUUGGUCUUAUUCUCACCCCAGCCCUUCAAGGGAGGUGCUAUGAUUACCCACAUUUUACAGGCUCCAAGAGCGUUGAUGACUUUCUGAGACUCAUACAUCAAGUCAGUGUCUAAGGGAAGAUUUGAACUCAGUUUUUUCUGACCUGAAGUUCAGCAUUUUUUAGCUUCCUCAAGAACCCAUAUCUGAGCAGGAAUCCCCUUGAAAACUUUUUUUUUAAAUGCUUGUCCACUCUCUAUCUGUAGAACUUCAGUAAGGGGUAACCAACGUUCAUCCAAAAAGUCAAUUUUAUUUUUGAAAAGCUCUUGAGAAAUUUCCCUUUUUAUCCAAUCCAGAGCUUCCUUUCUGUGAUCAUCAUCCCUUGCUUUUAGCUUGGCUAAGCAGAAAAAAAGAAGCCUCAGUCUCCUGUAUCUUUUAAGUGCUGGAGGGUGGUUUUCAUAAUGCUCUAAUCCUUCUCUUGACUAAACAGUUCUUCAUUUCAUGACCCCUUGAUUGGAUUCUGGAUGCAAACUGGAUUUAGGAUUUAAGCAGGAAUCUUAGUGAACUUUCGGGAGAACCAUUGAUCUGUAUUUCUUAGAGUGAUUGUUUUUAGUUUUGAUCUAAUCUUUGCAGCUCUGUGACUAGUCCUGGCAGGCUGCUUGUGGACAGAAGGAGCAACAAAGCUGGUUUAUCGAGUCUCAUCCGUCCGUCCUUCUCCUCCGGCCAAGCCUCUGCGGUCAUAAAUCCGACAGGGUCGAUAGCACUUGGCGGGAUGGCAGACCAUGCUCACGACCUUUUCCCAGUUGGAAUCUGGGAGCUGUACUACAUGUAGACAUGUUUCCCAUCUCUGAGCCCAGCUCUUGGCUCAUGAGCCCAGUGUCUUUUACGGUCCAGGAUUUAUGUGGAGCCUUGAUCUAGGAUAUCCUUUGGGGGAAGAAGCCUGGGAAAUGAAGAAUUAGGGAUUGAUCGGAGUGAUAACAAGUGAUAUUUGCAGAGAGUCAAACUCUUUCUGAAUUUUUCUGCUUUGAUUUCCUCCAUUCUUUUUGUAAACAGCCAUUGCUGAAGAUUCAGAAUUAUAUCCAGGGAUUUCUUCCUUCUGGGGUACCUAGAAAUGUGAGGGCACACUGAGGGAUGUUUCUAACUGGGACCAGGCCAUCUGCAAAUAAAGGCAAUAAGCCAUCAGAAUGGAUUCUGCUCUUAAUCUUACAGGAUCAUUUCACUUCCUUCCUAUUUCUCCCACCACUCAUUCAGCCCUAAGCCUUCUAUAGCCACCAAAGAUGGAGUGAUAGAAGAUCUGAU